GUGAGAAGGCCCUCGGGUUGUAAAGCUCUUUUGUCCGGAAAGAAAAGCAUUCGGUUAAUACCCGGGGUGUUCUGACGGUACCGGAAGAAUAAGCACCGGCAAACUUCGUGCCAGCAGCCGCGGUAAU
rnacentral:rRNA from 1 species